CCUGAUGCAGCAACGCCGCGUGAGGGACGACGGCCUUCGGGGUUGUAAACCUCUUUUUAGUAGGGAAGAAGCGAAAAGUGACGGUACCUGCAGAAAAAGCACCGGCUAACUACGUGCCAGCAGCCGCGGUAAUACGUAGGGUGCAAGCGUUAUCCGGAAUUAUUGGGCGUAAAGAGCUCGUAGGCGGUUUGUCGCGUCUGCUGUGAAAACUGGAGGCUCAACCUCCAGCCUGCAGUGGGUACGGGCAGACUAGAGUGCGGUAGGGGAGAUUGGAAUUCCUGGUGUAGCGGUGGAAUGCGCAGAUAUCAGGAGGAACACCGAUGGCGAAGGCAGAUCUCUGGGCCGUAACUGACGCUGAGGAGCGAAAGCAUGGGGAGCGAGCAGGAUUAGAUACCCUGGUAGUCCAUGCCGUAAACGUUGGGAACUAGAUGUAGGGACCAUUCCACGGUUUCUGUGUCGCAGCUAACGCAUUAAGUUCCCCGCCUGGGGAGUACGGCCGCAAGGCUG
rnacentral:rRNA from 1 species